UUCUCUUUUAAUGGCAUUUUAUGACUGAAUCGUUCAAUGAGACAGUGAACGAUUCAUUCGCGAACCAGUUCCUACGAUUGACGAUUCCCCACGCGGGUACAGAUGUUUGAAAAUAAAUCCCUUGUUUAUUAUAAAAAUAACUUUUAUGUUGAUGUUAAUGUUAUGAUAUUGUUUAUGUAAAAUGUCAGUCUCAAACGUUUGCGUCUUAAUCAAUGAAAUUCCAACGGAAAUAGUCAUCACAUAUUUUGAAGAUAAAUUGUUUAUCAUUUUGACACAGUAUAAAAAGUCAGGCUCAUUGAUUCUCGUUAAAAAAGAAAACAUUCGAUCGCUCGAAGAUCAUGAAGAAGUGUACAAACUGACGUUGCUUUUAGGACAAGAGGAAAGCAAUACUUUGGCGUUUGUAAGAACAAUCUCAGAACAUGUAAAAAUCCCCAAAAAUACAUUGUUUUCUAUUGGUCUCAAAGAUUACUCAAUACCGACUCUAAACGCUAUAGUCAGCAUGCUUAACAAAAUAAAAAAAUGGUUUACUUUGUAUUUGUCUUCUGAUAUUAGGCUUCAAAGCCUGUUUUUGUAAUAAAUAAACUAAGGAUAAAAGUUCAACCCUACCAUCUCGAAAAUAUUCUGCAAUAAAUUCAAUUUUAAUCAGGUGAUGUCUUUGGCUCACAGGUCUGAUUUAAUUAUUAAACAUUAAACUUUGUAAGAUAAAAAGCAACAUUGUAAUUAUUCUUGCUGUUAAAUAAAGAAUUAUAUGACAUCAUUA